rnacentral:lncRNA from 1 species
UGUAAUAAUCUAAAAAUUUCAAAUUUAGAAUUUUAUUUAGAAUUUUUUUUUUUUAGAAACCAAAACUCCAAAUAACUUACCACAUUAACAUUUGAAAACAUCUCUGCUGCAAACACCAAGCAUUUUUCACAAUUUCACUCUCUCUCUAAGAAAAGCUUACCUUUCAUCUCUGUCUUCUCUCUAAUCCCACUCUCCAUUAAUCNAGAUGAUUUCCAACAUGAUGGUGCCUCAGUAAUUGCAACGCAGAGAGCCCCAUCUUCCACAAAUCAAUUUCUUCAAAUCUGACCGGUUAGUAUACUUCUUCUACCUUUCAUGAAACUUUGGGGCUAGACAAGCAAUUAGGGUUGUUGCAUGUCUAUUAGGGAUUCCAUUUUCAAAUUCUAACUUAAAUUAGGUGUUAAGAGUUGCUCCUUUUUCCAGUUUAUAAUCUGUAGAUUUUCUAGAAUUUUCGAAAAGUGCAAGCUUGAUCGGGUUUAGUUGGAGCAUACUGUGAAAUUCAGAGGUAAGGGAAGCUAGGUUCUAAGUUCUGUUUGAAAUUAUUGUAUUCUUGUUUGAUCCUUUAGAUAGAAUUGUUAUUGUGUGAUGCAUGUGUAAUUUGGGUGAAGAAAUUACUGUAUUUUGAAUUGGAUGAAAAAUGCAUGAACUAAAAUAGAGUAUUUAUAUUCUAGAGCUGAUAUGAACCAAUAGGNNGACAAUUUUUGAGUUACAUGAUUAUGUGAUGAUGUGAAUUUGGUUGGAAAAGGGUGUGAAUUUAGUUUGCUGCAGUUAGUAAGUAGAGAGUUAAGUUAAUUACAAAAUAGGAGUUAAUUUAGGNAACUUGGGUAAUGAAAUUUUGAGUUAGUGGUCUAUACUUGAAUUGGGACAUAUAGGUAUUUUAGAUAAGACAAUUAUGACUUGUAGGUAGCACCAAAAGAGUUAAAAACAGUUUCUAAAUGGUAUAAUUCAGAUUGAGUCUCUAGGANGAGCAAAUUAGAGUUUUAGAUCCAAUUUCCUUGCAUAUCUCCUAGAGUUUUGAGUUAGGAUGGUGUGUGAGACUUCAAACAAGUUAGAUUUAGCCUAUAGAUCGAGUUAGGAGUGUCCAAAGCUCAUCAAAUGGCCUAAAACAGAUUUGGAGGGUGUGAGUUCUGCAAAAUCUGCAUAAAAUCUGCAGAACUCACGCUCGGGCGCCCCUAACGGGCGCUUGGGCGCCACUUUCUGCUGUCAUGUUUGUUUUUGACAGUUCGGGGGGUUCCGGACGUCCGUUUUGGACGUUCUCUAGGUCGUUCUGGGGGUUUUUGACCCUUCCGGAGCUAAUGGUGUGGGUUUUCAAGCUAUUUGAAUUACCUAAGUAUGNGUAAUUUAAGAUUACAAAGAUAUUUGUAUUAAUAAGUAAUCUUUUUCUGAAAAUAUGUAAUUCUUGUUUCCUCUUCUUCCUUGUGUGAUGAUUCAUGUAUUUGUUAUGGUUCCUCUUGUAUGACUUCUAUUAAUAUUAUUGGAUUGAUCUAUNCUUGAUAAUGUAACAAAACCAAAUUAAUCUCCUAACUUCAGGUAUAACAUUAAGAAUUAAAGUAAGUGAAGUUGGUGUGGUAUGAUGUGUGAAUCAAAGGGUUAAACAUCAAUCUCUAGGUGAGAUAUAAGUAAGUUU